UACGUAGGUGGCGAGCGUUGUCCGGAAUUACUGGGCGUAAAGGGUGCGUAGGUGGAUUUUUAAGUCAGAUGUGAAACUCCCGGGCUUAACCUGGGAACUGCAUUUGAAACUGGAAGUCUAGAGUGCAGGAGAGGAAAGCGGAAUUCCUAGUGUAGCGGUGAAAUGCGUAGAUAUUAGGAAGAACACCAGUGGCGAAGGCGGCUUUCUGGACUGUAACUGACACUGAGGCACGAAAGCGUGGGGAGCAAACAGG
rnacentral:rRNA from 1 species